AAUCCUCAAAUCGACCAGCAUUGCCGGUCUGUGGAAAUAAUGGACAUGAAAAAAUCAGAUAAUAACUCUCAAAAUUGAUAAACUAUCCCAGCAUGCCUACUCUGGCCUCUUGUUCCUUCUUCUACCUGGGUAUGUUACCUACUUUUUUUUCUUUGCCCAAUUUUUUCCUUUGUAUUAAGAGGGUUAUACGGCUAUAUUUGAGAUACGACCAAAAAGAGUCCUAGAUAAGUGGUUAGAUGACUGAACCUUGAUUGAAGAUGAGAUUAAACAAUCAGGGAUAGAGAGCCAAAGAAGUUAUGACUCUAUUAGUUCGUUGAUACCUACAAUCUUGCUCAUCCUCACAGGGCAACGACGCCACUAUCCGGUGCCCAGUUAGGGUCAUAUCAGGGCACUGCCUCACCAGAAGAUAUUCAUUGUUAUCAGCGUAGGAUCGGAUCCUGUAUCUACGCAGCGGUAAUGACCCGUCCAGAUAUUGCCUACGUCGUUGGCUAGCUACCUCCAUGUCCAACCCUUCUGCAGGCCAUUCUACAGAAAUCGACCGCGUUAUCGCCCAACUACGAGAUAUGAAGAAUCUAGCUAUCCAAUAUAGCGCAGAACCAGAACUAUCGCCAUAGUAGCACUGAAAGUACGACGGUUGAUGCGUGUUAAGGCCGUUGCUAUCACUCAACCGACUGUCUCCCAGUUCUCACGAGCGAGCUUACCGGGCUCAUAACUGUCGGAAAUGGAUGAUUUUCCAAAAUAUUGCCACAAAAUUACUGAAUAUCAAGUUGAAUUGUAUUCUAAUAAUGAUUUCUGAUUAUUGACACGAAAAGACAGC
rnacentral:sRNA from 1 species